CCCGCCGGGGGAAGCGGGAGGUGCCCUCCUGAGGAGGGGGGGGGGGGGGGGGCUCGGCGGCUGCCGCGUCCUCCUCCACCCGUUCUUCCCUCAGGGCCGCGGUCACAGGCGACCCCUCCGGCAGCGGGGGCCGCCUCUCCUUCCCCGCCCGGGACGGGACCGCGGCUCGCCGCCGAGGGCCCGGGGGACACCGGCCUGAGGGGCCGGGACGGCCCCACUGCCGCGGGGCGCCUGCCGGCCUCCUCCGUCAACGGCACCGGGGAGAAGGCGGGCCGCAGAGCCGGGUCCUGACCGUCUCCUCACCGAAACAGCGGCUUCCCGGCGGGCAGAGGGAACGGAGCGGCCCGGCCCGGCCCGGCCCGGCCCGGCCCGGCGUUGUUGUCCCCGCUUGUAGGUUAUAAACGGACUCGGUCUGCCUCACGUCCCUGCAGCCAUCUGUACCUCAGCACAGUGCUUCUCCUCUGGUAACGCAGCCUCUCGCAACUCCAUGUACCCAGCGGGAAUCAUGGCGUGAGGCACAUAGAGCAUCCCAACAAAGCCGCCGCUGGGAUCAGAAUCCCUGAGCGGGCUUCUUUGUUCCAGUUACAAGGGGCAUCUUUCAUCACUGUGGCAUGCUGCCAGCCUCUUCACAAAAGAUAUAGUUCCUUCUCAACUUAAAAUAUCUGGUAAAUCAAGGAUAAAAAAAGAAAUAGAGGAAAGAUUAAUCAAUAUGCCACCUAACUCUCACAGCACAUCACCUUUCUGUGCAAAACGUUUGCAACCAUGAGAAUUUACCUACCAAGGACAGGCAAAGCAGCAAAGAAAUCGAAGGGCAAAAAAUAACUAAAAAGAAGCCUCUCGAUCUUUACAGAUGCUGGUCUCAGUCAGGCAUAGCUAGCAGUGGUUGCCACAUCGUAAGGGGUUGCCUUCUCUACUAGGUGAGCUUCGAGGUAGGAUGGUUUAAAUAGGCAGAAGCUCCCACGGGAUGAAGAUGUAUUGAGUUUUGGGAAGACCUACUGCAUAAGAAAUGGACCCCAGUACCUUGAAGGUCUGUGGAAAAUGGCCCUAAAUCUGUAUCGAAACCACUCUACCAUACAGAGUUGGCUGGCAUACACGAUGGGGAAUUUGGGUGUUGCUUCAAAGAUCAUAAAUAAUGCUAAACUGCUGAACCUCACUGUACUUUGGUGUCCUUACAUAUAAUAUGGAAACUGAUACUUUCCAGCUACAACUUCACAAAAAGUUGCAAAUAGAAAUUUUGUUGACAAAUCACUUUGCGCUUCAUAAAUGCAAAGUAGCAUAGCACACUCACUUCACUGAGUGCAUCAUAGUCCACCUGGAGAUGUUCACUUUGUGACAGAACUGCUGCAGACAUGUUAUUGGCCUGUGAGAAGCUUUUACUCUGUGGAUUUUAUCACUCUGGGAGAAGGCUGGCCCAAGAGCUUUUGUGAAUGAAAUCAUCUGGUAAGGGCGAUGCCGACUGCUGGUGUUCCUGCAUGCUUUUCCCAUUUUAAGCCCAUGACAUGGAGCUGGUUAUUUUUAUGAACGUGAUUUUCCCCAUCAGCUUACUCUUUUGCCUCUCCACAAAUUAUUUUCUGUUGUGGUCAGUGGUUUUGCACCCAUAGGAAUUCCCUGGAGAACAGAAAAUCAAUUCACAUAUGUUGUUAGCUAGUAGACAAACUAAAGUUGAGUUUGCUUUGGGUUCAAGCUGUCAGAUCAAAGUCAAGGAAAGUGCUCCAAAAAAGGACCAAAAAAGAAUGGCAGCUCCUGGUUUCACGGUUACUUUUUCUUCAGAAAUGAAUCCUCGGGUGAACUGUUUACUGUACGCUAAAAGUAUUGUCGAUUGUAAGCCGUCAGCCCUGUCGGCCUGCAAGCCCAAGCGGCAGCUAAAUGCAUUCGCUCCUUCUCAUGCGCUGCACUUGCUUUCACCUCCGUGCCCUCAGUGUUCUCAAAGAGUGCUCCAGGUAACACGCCAUCUGGCUUGCAUCUAUGCAGGGCUACUCUGUCACAUAAACUUGACUACUCGAGCUCCUCAAAGACAUUUAAUUACCCAACCCACACUUACCACAACAAGCCUGAGAUGUAUCCCUGUGGAAGGCAGAUCCCUGAGCAUUAGCGACCAGGCAUUUCAGUGAUGCUUAAUGGUAUGGAAGAAGCUAAAAACAUCUUUGCCCCUGCAUAGACUGUGAGCAUCAGAGGACCUGCCUGCAGUAUCUGUCUCCAGUCACAAGUUGAUAUAAUCAUACACUGCGGUCUAAUGGGAAGUCGCGGGGAGAAAGUGGACUGCAAAAGUGUCUAAGGAAACCGGGUGUGCAGGAUAAUCUCAGUAACUGAGAAAGAACCUGAGUCCUGCUCAGCAGGCUUAAGAGUAGGGCCCGCAGGAAAGCUAAGUGUGCAGUCCGGAGGUGAACGUGAGUUGGUUGUGUUUCUGAAAGCUCACGUUCAUUAGUAACCAGCUGACAAGUAGCAGGUUAGCCCUGAGUUCUGAGAAAGGAAACAUCUUGUUCAGCUGUGCAGAACUCACCUUUGUCAUUUUGUUAUGCAACGCCUGUCUUUGUCAUAGCGCUGAUGUGCACUAAAUUGCGUAUUAUCGGGCCCUGAGUCACGGCAGUAUGAUUCCCUGGGGUCUGUUGUAAUGGCUCCAUGGCUUGAAUGAUGUACCGAAAACCAGGAGUUGGUAUUUUUCAAAUUACAAUGUGCUCACUUUUCUAGUAUUUAUAGCAAUGUACUUUCAAAGAGCUCAGUAUGCAUAAUAAUUAUUUCAAUGUAAUAAAUAAAGCAAAGGCA